CAGCUGCUUCAUGUCAUCUAAUACUUUUUGUAUUUUGCUGUCGACCUCCUUCAUAAAUUGAACUUGGCGCAAACCCACCGAAGCAUCCACUAUAUUCUGGAUAUCAUUCACUUGGAUGGAAUUUUCCAUCCCUUGGCCUGCCAUACUACCUCGAACUUCCCUCCUAAUGUUCUGCGCUGUUUCGCUUAGGAAUGUCGGUGAUUUGCACUCUCAGAACUGAUGGACAGGUCGUGGGUGCUGUGUGUGGUUGUAGUCGUUGUUGUACUGGCUGUGGGAUGGGUAAACGUAGCGAUAGAUGCGGUAGGGGUAUCGGUACUACAAGUUACAUUACUCGCUGUUGCCAUAGCGUUGGUUUGUUGUCCUAAACGACUCGCGCGACGGGUUAAAACCAUUUAAAACAAUUAAUACAAAAGUCACACUUAUUUAAAAAACAAGGUGUGUAAAUAUAUAUAAAUACGAAAUUCGUAGCACAGAAUCUUUUGCAGCGUAAGUUCCAAAAGAAGAUAUAAACUAAAAGAUUUUCGAUCUUUCAAACAAAAAACCAAAAAGAAAACAAACUCAAAAUUCAAAACUUAAAUAACUUGUAUGCGGGCGGCAUUUUCGGGUAAAUAAAAGUUUGCAGGAGAUGCAGAGUACAAUUAACAAAACAACAAAAGGAUGGACAAGAACUAACUGUCUUUCUACAGUACGUACUAACGAGGUGCAACUUGACCAGGGUUACGUUCUCCUACUAUUCAAGGAAACCUUCCUAGACUUCCUGUAGAACUAAAACGUUCCUCAAUGGACAGCUGGCAAGACUACAGCAAAUGGACUUUUGGUGCGAGCUGGUUGCAGGUGUGGUUUUCUGUCCGUCCGUUUUAGUCUGUUCGUGUUUUUCAGGCCUGAGCUCAACCCUAACCUUACGCGCACGCCUGGUUCAAUUUCAACCCGCGGACUGGCUUCGAGCAACUAACCAAAUUAUCUAAAAGGACUGACUGGUUCUGUUCGUCCUGUCGUUCGGGUAAGAGGUAAACUUACAAGGUCGAAAACCUUAAUACCUGGGCACCACAGGACUGAUGGUGCGGAUCAGCUAAAGGAGUCCCUCGAUGGAUGGAGCUGGCGAUGGCGUGGCUCAGAGUUGACUGAUUUAGCUUUAUUUUUCUGUUUUAUUUAGUUUUAUGAUGAAUGUAAUUUAGUUUUAAGUUCUAAUUUAUUUUGUUUUAACUUUUAUUUGUAGUUCAGUUUGAAACUUUUAUGAAUAAACAAAAACAAGGAAUUAUU